AUUGAACGCUGGCGGCAUGCUUUACACAUGCAAGUCGAACGGCAGCACGGGUGCUUGCACCUGGUGGCGAGUGGCGAACGGGUGAGUAAUGCAUCGGAACGUAUCCAAUAAUGGGGGAUAACGCAUCGAAAGGUGUGCUAAUACCGCAUACGCCCUGAGGGGGCAAGUGGGGGACCGUAAGGCCUCACGUUAAUGGAGCGGCCGAUGCCUGAUUCGCUAGUUGGUGAGGUAAAGGCUCACCAAGGCGACGAUCAGUAGCUGGUCUGAGAGGAUGAUCAGCCACACUGGGACUGAGACACGGCCCAGACUCCUACGGGAGGCAGCAGUGGGGAAUUUUGGACAAUGGGGGCAACCCUGAUCCAGCCAUGCCGCGUGAGUGAAGAAGGCCUUCGGGUUGUAAAGCUCUUUCGCAAGGGAAGAAAACUUAGCCAUUAAUACUGGCUGAGGAUGACGGUACCUUGAUAAGAAGCACCGGCUAACUACAUGCCAGCAGCCGCAGUAA
rnacentral:rRNA from 1 species